rnacentral:tRNA from 8 species
GCCCAGAUGGCGGAAUUGGUAGACGCACCGUCUUCAGGUGGCGGCGCUGGUAACGGCGUGGAGGUUCGAGUCCUCUUCUGGGCACCA